rnacentral:rRNA from 1 species
GGAGAGGGAGCCUGAGAAACGGCUACCACAUCCAAGGAAGGCAGCAGGCGCGCAAAUUACCCACUCCCGGCACGGGGAGGUAGUGACGAAAAAUAACGAUACGGGACUCAUCCGAGGCCCCGUAAUCGGAAUGAGUACACUUUAAAUCCUUUAACGAGUAUCCAUUGGAGGGCAAGUCUGGUGCCAGCAGCCGCGGUAAUUCCAGCUCCAAUAGCGUAUAUUAAAGUUGUUGCGGUUAAAAAGCUCGUAGUCGGACUUGUGUCCCACGCUGCCGGUUCACCGCCCGUCGGUGUCUAACUGGCAUGCUCGUGCGGACGUCCUGUUGGUGGCCUUUUCCGAGCCGUAACUUUCGGGGUGUCUCGUUUCCUGUCACCGCAAGGUUUCAAGGGCUUGCGCUUCCGUGGGGCGGUGAGGAGGGCCUAUUCGUACCCUUCGUGGUGCUCUUAGCCGAGUGUCUCGAUGGGCCGACACGUUUACUUUGAACAAAUUAGAGUGCUUAAAGCAGGCAGCAGCCGCCCGAAUACCGAGUGCAUGGAAUAAUGGAAUAGGACCUCGGUUCUAUUUUGUUGGUUUUCGGAAUCCCCGAGGUAAUGAUCAAUAGGGACAGACGGGGGCAUUCGUACUGACGACG